rnacentral:lncRNA from 1 species
CUCUGCUAAACACACUUCAUCACCCCACAGUGAAGUUUGUGAAUCCUGCUCUGUAGAGUUGCUAUAGAAAUAGUUAUACACUUGUCAGCACACUUCAUGAAGCCAAUGAUCUAAUCCAAUAGACAUCCCUCCCCCCCACCACGAUUAUCAUCUUCAGCAACUCAUUCUAAUACAGACAACCAGGUAUUUUUUAUUACUUCAUGUUGCUUUAAUAAUGCAGCUUCAUAUCCCUGAGGAUGUCAAUAGCUGCAGUGAAAUUUGGCUUUCCAGAGCACACUCAUCAUAUUUUGCAAUGUUAAGAGCUAUUUCUCUGGCUUUGGGCUGGGAACAGCAAACAAUGGAGUAGAAAGGAAGAAUGGAGAGGGACAAAAUUCAGAGAUGCAAAGCAUGGUGUGCAUAAUGCUUCAUUCUUUGAUGCUUUGUGUACCCUGGCUAUUAAUGGC